rnacentral:lncRNA from 1 species
UAGUUCAUGGUCUUACGACCCUCAGUGAUGUAUAUUUUCCAUAUUUUGGGAUUUCAGUUUCUGAUUAUUGUUGAUAGAGUACUAUUCACUUUUGAUGAGCCUAUUUCGACAAUUAUUAUUGUUAUACUCCUGUUGAUUCCAUGUUAUAUCCAGUGAGCAAUUGUUUUGCUCACUCUUGCAUAUUUAAAAACUCAUUGCAGCUAAAGAAGAGAAGGUAAGUGAACCUUCGACUAGUAAAGGAAAGGGAAAAAUGUACAAGUGAUUAAGACUUGUAAUAGUUUUGAUAGUUUUAUUAUCAGACUUUGAUUUAAA